AAGGUUAGCUAAUCCUGGUCGGACAUCAGGAGGUUAGUGCAAUGGCAUAAGCUAGCUUGACUGCGAGCGUGACGGCGCGAGCAGGUGCGAAAGCAGGUCAUAGUGAUCCGGUGGUUCUGAAUGGAAGGGCCAUCGCUCAACGGAUAAAAGGUACUCCGGGGAUAACAGGCUGAUACCGCCCAAGAGUUCAUAUCGACGGCGGUGUUUGGCACCUCGAUGUCGGCUCAUCACAUCCUGGGGCUGAAGUAGGUCCCAAGGGUAUGGCUGUUCGCCAUUUAAAGUGGUACGCGAGCUGGGUUUAGAACGUCGUGAGACAGUUCGGUCCCUAUCUGCCGUGGGCGCUGGAGAAUUGAGGGGGGCUGCUCCUAGUACGAGAGGACCG
rnacentral:rRNA from 1 species